rnacentral:rRNA from 1 species
UACGAAGGGGGCUAGCGUUGCUCGGAAUCACUGGGCGUAAAGGGUGCGUAGGCGGCCUUCUAAGUCGAACGUGAAAUCCCCGGGCUCAACCCGGGAACUGCGUCCGAUACUGGAAGGCUUGAAUCCGGGAGAGGGAUGUGGAAUUCCAGGUGUAGCGGUGAAAUGCGUAGAUAUCUGGAGGAACACCGGUGGCGAAGGCAGGUCUCUGGGCUGACACUGACGCUCAUGCACGAAAGCGUGGGGAGCAAACAGG